GUUGAAAUACCGCUUCCCCAUACGAUCGCCGAAGUUAAGCAAUAGAACCUGGUUAGUACUUAGAUGGGUGGCCGCUUGGGGAUACCAGGUGCU